GUCUUCCUGAUUUAUUUAGGAGGUCUGACCUGCCCAGUGAAAGCUUUAACGGCCGCGGUAUUUUGACCGUGCAAAGGUAGCAUAAUCAUUAGUCUUUUAAUAGGAGGCUGGAAUGAAAGGUUUGACGAAGUGUUAGCUGUCUCAUAUUUAAUAAUUAUAAUUUAACUUUUUAGUUAAAAGGCUUAAAUUUUGUUGGAAGACGAGAAGACCCUAUAGAGCUUUAAUUUUAAAUUUUUAAUUGGUGUAGUUUUAUAAUUAUCUUUUAUUCAUUUAAUUUUUUUGUUGGGGUGACAAGAGAUAUAUGAACAACUUUUAUAUUUAUAUUCCAUUUAUUUAUGUUUGUUAGAUCCAUUAUUAUUGAUUAUUAGAAUAAGUUACCUUAGGGAUAACAGCGUAAUCUUCUUUCAGAGUUCAAAUUUACAAGAAGGCUUGCGACCUCGAUGUUGGAUUAAGAUAAUAGUUAGGGGCAGUUUCUUAGCUAAUAGGUCUGUUCGACCUUUAAAUUCUUACAUGAUCUGAGUUCAGACCGG
rnacentral:rRNA from 1 species